rnacentral:rRNA from 1 species
AUUGAACGCUGGCGGCAUGCUUUACACAUGCAAGUCGAACGGUAACAGGCCGCAAGGUGCUGACGAGUGGCGAACGGGUGAGUAAUGCGUCGGAACGUGCCCAGUCGUGGGGGAUAACUACUCGAAAGAGUAGCUAAUACCGCAUACGAUCUAUGGAUGAAAGCGGGGGACCGUAAGGCCUCGCGCGAUUGGAGCGGCCGAUGUCAGAUUAGGUAGUUGGUGGGGUAAAGGCUCACCAAGCCAACGAUCUGUAGCUGGUCUGAGAGGACGACCAGCCACACUGGGACUGAGACACGGCCCAGACUCCUAAGGGAGGCAGCAGUGGGGAAUUUUGGACAAUGGGCGCAAGCCUGAUCCAGCAAUGCCGCGUGCAGGAAGAAGGCCUUCGGGUUGUAAACUGCUUUUGUACGGAACGAAACGGCUCUGGUUAAUACCCGGGGCUAAUGACGGUACCGUAAGAAUAAGCACCGGCUAACUACGUG